rnacentral:rRNA from 1 species
GACGAACGCUGGCGGCGUGCUUAACACAUGCAAGUCGAACGGUAAGGCCCUUCGGGGUACACGAGUGGCGAACGGGUGAGUAACACGUGGGUAAUCUGCCCUGCACAUCGGGAUAAGCCUGGGAAACUGGGUCUAAUACCGAAUAGGACCACAGGACACAUGUCCUGUGGUGGAAAGCUUUUGCGGUGUGGGAUGGGCCCGCGGCCUAUCAGCUUGUUGGUGGGGUGAUGGCCUACCAAGGCGACGACGGGUAGCCGGCCUGAGAGGGUGUCCGGCCACACUGGGACUGAGAUACGGCCCAGACUCCGACGGGAGGCAGCAGUGGGGAAUAUUGCACAAUGGGCGAAAGCCUGAUGCAGCGACGCCGCGUGGGGGAUGACGGCCUUCGGGUUGUAAACCUCUUUCACCAUCGACGAAGGUCCGGGUGUUCUCGGGCUGACGGUAGGUGGAGAAGAAGCACCGGCCAACUACGUG